AGAGAAAUCCCCAAAGCCCUCCUUACGCUCCUCGUUAGUGCCAUUUUAUCACCGUUUUGUCAUAGUAUUUAACCUGGAUGUUUAUCAAAGUUAUUCACACUUCGAAGCAACAUUCCUUCCAAUGUUACUGCCAAACUUCAGAACGGAGAGGAUUGCCGACUGGAUUGACAAAACUUGGGGAAGAUGACCAGUCAGUUGACUCAGAUUCCCGAGCUUUAACGCACUUGUGGGAUUAGGUGUUUUCCCAGCAAAUGCUAAAGGUCUGCUGCCUCUCCAUGGUUGCUAUACGUCAGGGGUGUGUGGUUGGAAAUAAAGUGGUGCCGGUGUGCUUUCUCCCCAUCAAUCAGCCACACAUCCAGAGGGCAACAGAAGCGCUUGGUCUCCAUUGCACAUCUAUCACAGCAUCCCUCAGCUGCCUCCACAAUGAGAUGGCCUGACAGAUUAACAAAACAGAGGGGAACGGAAGGGAAGGACAAUGCCAGAGCCAACAAACGUUUCCAUCUGACACAGGACAAGGACUCCCCUGUACACAGUGACAUGGUUUUUGUUUUCUUGCUGUUGUCUUUCACAAGCUUGUUAGGCAGAAAGUUACCCGAGGCAUCAAUGAAAACCCAGAGUCUCUUAUUAUUGUUGUUCUAGAAUCCAACAGGGCUGUGCAGGGCUCCCUGGGUCUGAUCUGGGGGCCAAUCCAGCACUUUGGAUCAACACUGAUCCAACCCUGGCUGAUCCAGGGCAGACCUGACAUGAAUCUGGACCCCAAAUCAUUUGGGGGGGGAAGCCCUAAUGUUUAUUUAGGAGUUUAAACCCUAGUUGGACAUGCGGUCAGGAGGGACACAGGAGCAGCAGGAGACACUGCAUCUCCCCCACCCUCCAUGGCAUAUUUAAUCAGAUGUUCAAACACAGGGGGGCAGGGGAAGAUGCU